rnacentral:rRNA from 1 species
AGAGUUUGAUCAUGGCUCAGAAUCAACGCUGGCGGCGCGCCUAACACAUGCAAGUCGUACGAGAAAGCGGGGGCAACCUCGUGAGUAAAGUGGCGUACGGGUGAGUAACACGUGGAUUAUCUACCCUCUAGUGGGGGAUAACCCUGGGAAACCGGGGCUAAUACCGCAUAAGCUCGAGAGAGCAAAGCAGCAAUGCGCUGGAGGAGGAGUCCGCGGCCGAUUAGCUGGUUGGUAGGGUAAAGGCCUACCAAGGCUACGAUCGGUAGCCGGCCUGAGAGGGCACACGGCCACACUGGCACUGAAACACGGGCCAGACUCCUACGGGAGGCAGCAGUGGGGAAUCUUGCACAAUGGGGGAAACCCUGAUGCAGCGACGCCGCGUGAGCGAUGAAGCCCUUCGGGGUGUAAAGCUCUUUCGGCAGGGAAGAUGAUGACGGUACCUGCAGAAGCAGCUGCGGCUAACUACGUGCCAGCAGCCGCGGUAAUACGUAGGCAGCAAGCGUUGUUCGGAGUUACUGGGCGUAAAGGGUGUGUAGGCGGUUCUCUAAGUCUGGUGUGAAAUCUCCCGGCUCAACUGGGAGGGUGCGCCGAAAACUGGAGGGCUAGAGUGCGGGAUGGGAGAGUGGAAUUCCUGGUGUAGCGGUGAAAUGCGUAGAUAUCAGGAGGAACACCUGUGGUGUAGACGGCUCUCUGGACCGCAACUGACGCUGAGACACGAAAGCGUGGGUAGCAAACAGGAUUAGAUACCCUGGUAGUCCACGCCCUAAACGAUGCAUAUUUGGUGUGGGCCAUUCAUUUGGUCUGUGCCGGAGCUAACGCGUUAAAUAUGCCGCCUGGGGAGUACGGUCGCAAGGCUGAAACUCAAAGGAAUUGACGGGGGCCCGCACAAGCGGUGGAGCAUGUGGGUUCAAUUCGACGCAACGCGAAGAACCUUACCUGGGCUCGAACGGCUCACGAAAGUCUUUGGGAAACAAGGAUUUCCCGCAAGGGAC